GAGAGCUCGCCUAAUUAAUAUUUACACAGCAUACUCAUGCUUGUUUACACUCUUCACACGGGCUGUAGAGCCAAACCGAUGCUUUUUUAUAAAGAAAUAGCGUUCAUCUGCACGCACGAAGUGCAUUAUGGGAAUAUUAACGCUUUACUAUGAGGACAGUAAGGUGUAUCUACCUAUGUGUUGUUAUGUCCAUCUGGUGUGGAAACUCACCCGAGAAAAGGCAGUCUUUCUCCGCCUGGCACCUCUGUAUAACGAUGUCGACGUCUUUUUGAAUUCUCUCUUGCCUUGAACACAUCCCCUUCAAACUCCAAAACCCUCAAGCGGAACGGCCUUUCGGAGAAUUUCUACAAAUAUUAACGCUCGUUUUUAAUCCCGUUCUUCUCCUUCUUCUUCUUCUUCUUCUUCUUCUUCUUCUUCUUCGUCCCUUCGUUCUCAGUCACGACGGAGAAGCGUGUAGACAGAGCUGACCCAGGUGUCACUACACUAACCGCUCCGCUUUCACUCCAGAGACUCACAAGCUCUCAUGUCGUCUCAGCAAAACACCGAAAUGAAAUACAUACACUGAAGGGGGGAGAAAAAAAAACAAUAAUAAAAAUAAAAAUAAAAAAACAAAACAACAAACGCAGCUCAC